UACAGAGGGGGCAAGCGUUGUUCGGAAUUACUGGGCGUAAAGGGCGCGUAGGUGGCCUUCUAAGUUGAACGUGAAAUCCCUGGGCUCAACCCAGGAACUGCGUCCAAGACUGGGAGGCUUGAAUCCGGGAGAGGGAUGCGGAAUUCCUGGUGUAGCGGUGAAAUGCGCAGAUAUCAGGAAGAACACCCGUGGCGAAGGCGGCUCUCUGGGACGGUACUGACGCUGAGGAGCGAAAGCGUGGGGAGCGAACAGG
rnacentral:rRNA from 1 species